AACCUACACCCGGCCGUAUUUUCUUUCUUGAGCCGCUAAACCCUUUCAACCCAACUCCACCCUCCACUCUCCACUCUCUACUUUUACGCCCUCCACCGCCGACCGCCGCGGUUUCAUCGCAGAAGGAGCCCCUCGAAUCGCCGAUAUCUCCAUUAUAGUCAUUGAGGCUGGAGCAGCAGUAAUGACAACCAGAAUAUGCGUUGCGAUUCGAUCUUUUGCGAAACACCCAUUGGGACUUCCGCCUUGCACGCGGAGGAUUCGGUUGCCUGACACACGAGUCUUAUAUACUGUGUUACGAUCGCCUCAUAUUGAUAAGAAGUCCAGAGAACAGUUUCAUAUGAUAACCAAGAAACAACUUCUGGUCAUAGACACGAAGGCAAAUGAGUUGCAAAAGAAGUUCUUUUGGUUAAAACGCCAGCGUAUACUUGGAGCUCAAUACGAAAUUAUAUUUAAUUCCAAGACCCGUUUGGAUAAGGGAAAACUCCAGGCUUUGCUUAAUAAGGAAACUGAAACGACUCCUGGAGCAGAAUUGGGGUUGAAGUCCAUAAUUUCCAGUUGAGAAGGUGUUUCUUUGUAAACGGACAGAGAUUCUGUAGAAGUUGAUGGCAAUGAUGAUACAAAAAGCCAAUGAUGAUACAGGGUUUCUGUAGAAGUUGAUGGCAGAGAUUCUGUAAACGGACUUGUGAUUGGAGAAGUCCUCGCUUUGCCUCAAACAGCCAAUGAUGAUACAAAAAGAUUUCAGUUAUUUUAAAGAAUUUAGUUGUAAGAAACCUUCUUUUAUUAAAUGUUUGUAGAACUUAGAGAAUUUGGUCCUUAUUUUGUUAUGUAAACGACUUUUUCGAUUCUAUGAAAUAAGGAAGGCAUCAGUAUUGCUAUA